AUUGAACGCUGGCGGCAUGCUUUACACAUGCAAGUCGAACGGCAGCACGGGGGCAACCCUGGUGGCGAGUGGCGAACGGGUGAGUAAUGCAUCGGAACGUACCCGGGAGUGGGGGAUAACGUAGCGAAAGUUACGCUAAUACCGCAUAUUCUGUGAGCAGGAAAGUGGGGGACCGUAAGGCCUCACGCUUCUGGAGCGGCCGAUGUCGGAUUAGCUAGUUGGUGGGGUAAAGGCUUACCAAGGCGACGAUCCGUAGCGGGUCUGAGAGGAUGAUCCGCCACACUGGGACUGAGACACGGCCCAGACUCCUACGGGAGGCAGCAGUGGGGAAUUUUGGACAAUGGGCGCAAGCCUGAUCCAGCCAUGCCGCGUGAGUGAAGAGGGCCUUCGGGUUGUAAAGCUCUUUUGUUGGGGAAGAAAUGCUCUGGGUUAAUACCCUGGGGUGAUGACGGUACCCAAAGAAUAAGCACCGGCUAACUACGUGCCAGCCGCCGCAGUAA
rnacentral:rRNA from 1 species